rnacentral:rRNA from 1 species
GGGUUGUGAGGUUAAGCGACUAAGCGUACACGGUGGAUGCCCUGGCAGUCAGAGGCGAUGAAGGACGUGCUAAUCUGCGAUAAGCGUCGGUAAGGUGAUAUGAACCGUUAUAACCGGCGAUUUCCGAAUGGGGAAACCCAGUGUGUUCGCACACUAUCGUUAAGUGAAUACAUAGCUUAACGAAGCGAACCGGGGGAACUGAAACAUCUAAGUACCCCGAGGAAAAGAAAUCAACCGAGAUUCCCCCAGUAGCGGCGAGCGAACGGGGAGGAGCCCAGAGUCUGAAUCAGCGCGUGUGUUAGUGGAACGGUCUGGAAAGUCCGGCGGUACAGGGUGAUAGCCCCGUACACUAAAAUGCACACGUUGUGAACUCGAAGAGUAGGGCGGGACACGUGGUAUCCUGUCUGAAUAUGGGGGGACCAUCCUCCAAGGCUAAAUACUCCUGACUGACCGAUAGUGAACCAGUACCGUGAGGGAAAGGCGAAAAGAACCCCGGCGAGGGGAGUGAAAAAGAACCUGAAACCGUGUACGUACAAGCAGUGGGAGCCUGAUUUGUCAGGUGACUGCGUACCUUUUGUAUAAUGGGUCAGCGACUUAUAUUCUGUAGCAAGGUUAACCGUAUAGGGGAGCCGCAGGGAAACCGAGUCUUAACUGGGCGUUAAGUUGCAGGGUAUAGACCCGAAACCCGGUGAUCUAGCCAUGGGCAGGUUGAAGGUUGGGUAACACUAACUGGAGGACCGAACCGACUAAUGUUGAAAAAUUAGCGGAUGACUUGUGGCUGGGGGUGAAAGGCCAAUCAAACCGGGAGAUAGCUGGUUCUCCCCGAAAGCUAUUUAGGUAGCGCCUCGUGAACUCAUCUUCGGGGGUAGAGCACUGUUUCGGCUAGGGGGUCAUCCCGACUUACCAACCCGAUGCAAACUACGAAUACCGAAGAAUGUUAUCACGGGAGACACACGGCGGGUGCUAACGUCCGUCGUGAAGAGGGAAACAACCCAGACCGCCAGCUAAGGUCCCAAAGUCAUGGUUAAGUGGGAAACGAUGUGGGAAGGCACAGACAGCCAGGAUGUUGGCUUAGAAGCAGCCAUCAUUUAAAGAAAGCGUAAUAGCUCACUGGUCGAGUCGGCCUGCGCGGAAGAUGUAACGGGGCUAAACCAUGCACCGAAGCUGCGGCAGCGACACUAUGUGUUGUUGGGUAGGGGAGCGUUCUGUAAGCCGUUGAAGGUGGCCUGUGAGGGUUGCUGGAGGUAUCAGAAGUGCGAAUGCUGACAUAAGUAACGAUAAAGCGGGUGAAAAGCCCGCUCGCCGGAAGACCAAGGGUUCCUGUCCAACGUUAAUCGGGGCAGGGUGAGUCGACCCCUAAGGCGAGGCCGAAAGGCGUAGUCGAUGGGAAACAGGUUAAUAUUCCUGUACUCGGUGUUACUGCGAAGGGGGGACGGAGAAGGCUAUGUUAGCCGGGCGACGGUUGUCCCGGUUUAAGCAUGUAGGCGGAACGGUUAGGUAAAUCCGGACUUUUUUAACGCUGAGGUGUGAUGACGAGGCACUACGGUGCUGAAGUAACAAAUGCCCUGCUUCCAGGAAAAGCCUCUAAGCAUCAGGUAACAACGAAUCGUACCCCAAACCGACACAGGUGGUCAGGUAGAGAAUACCAAGGCGCUUGAGAGAACUCGGGUGAAGGAACUAGGCAAAAUGGUGCCGUAACUUCGGGAGAAGGCACGCUGAUGGUAGGUGAAGUGACUUGCUCAUGGAGCUGAAAUCAGUCGAAGAUACCAGCUGGCUGCAACUGUUUAUUAAAAACACAGCACUGUGCAAACACGAAAGUGGACGUAUACGGUGUGACGCCUGCCCGGUGCCGGAAGGUUAAUUGAUGGGGUUAUCCGUAAGGAGAAGCUCUUGAUCGAAGCCCCGGUAAACGGCGGCCGUAACUAUAACGGUCCUAAGGUAGCGAAAUUCCUUGUCGGGUAAGUUCCGACCUGCACGAAUGGCGUAAUGAUGGCCAGGCUGUCUCCACCCGAGACUCAGUGAAAUUGAACUCGCUGUGAAGAUGCAGUGUACCCGCGGCAAGACGGAAAGACCCCGUGAACCUUUACUAUAGCUUGACACUGAACAUUGAGCCUUGAUGUGUAGGAUAGGUGGGAGGCUUUGAAGUGUGGACGCCAGUCUGCAUGGAGCCAACCUUGAAAUACCACCCUUUAAUGUUUGAUGUUCUAACGUAGACCCGUGAUCCGGGUUGCGGACAGUGUCUGGUGGGUAGUUUGACUGGGGCGGUCUCCUCCCAAAGAGUAACGGAGGAGCACGAAGGUUAGCUAAUCCUGGUCGGACAUCAGGAGGUUAGUGCAAUGGCAUAAGCUAGCUUGACUGCGAGCGUGACGGCGCGAGCAGGUGCGAAAGCAGGUCAUAGUGAUCCGGUGGUUCUGAAUGGAAGGGCCAUCGCUCAACGGAUAAAAGGUACUCCGGGGAUAACAGGCUGAUACCGCCCAAGAGUUCAUAUCGACGGCGGUGUUUGGCACCUCGAUGUCGGCUCAUCACAUCCUGGGGCUGAAGUAGGUCCCAAGGGUAUGGCUGUUCGCCAUUUAAAGUGGUACGCGAGCUGGGUUUAGAACGUCGUGAGACAGUUCGGUCCCUAUCUGCCGUGGGCGCUGGAGAAUUGAGGGGGGCUGCUCCUAGUACGAGAGGACCGGAGUGGACGCAUCACUGGUGUUCGGGUUGUCAUGCCAAUGGCAUUGCCCGGUAGCUAAAUGCGGAAAAGAUAAGUGCUGAAAGCAUCUAAGCACGAAACUUGCCCCGAGAUGAGUUCUCCCUGACCCUUUAAGUCCUGAAGGAACGUUGAAGACGACGACGUUGAUAGGUCGGGUGUGUAAGCGUAGCGAUACGUUGAGCUAACCGAUACUAAUGAACCGUGAGGCUUAACCUUACAACGCCGAAGCUGUU